rnacentral:rRNA from 1 species
GACAGAGGGUGCAAACGUUUGUUCGGAAUUACUGGGCGUAAAGCGUGUGUAGGUGGCUGCGUAAGUCGGAUGUGAAAGCCCUGGGCUCAACUCAGGAAGUGCACUCGAUACUGCGUAGCUCGAGUACCGGAGAGGUUGGUAGAAUUCUCGGUGUAGAGGUGAAAUUCGUAGAUAUCGAGAGGAAUACCUGUGGCGAAGGCGGCCAACUGGACGAGUACUGACACUGAGACACGAAAGCGUGGGGAGCAAACAGG